UACUUUUCUUGCACUUCUCUGCCUACUAUCGGGAGAGCAGGAAUGCGGCCACAGAAGUCAAACCGGAACCAUCCCCUGCGUCAUGAUAACGGCUCUCACCGUGGUAAACUAGCGUGGUCUGCACCGAUAUCAGGGGGCACUCCCUCCCUGCGCAAGCAAGGAACUGAAGGAUGGGCUCGCCAUUACAUUAUCCUUUGUAAGAAGAGGAUGAUGACACCUAGGAGAAAGAAAAAUCCUCCUGUAUCACUUUGGUGCAGUGGAAAGGAGACUCAUUUUGGAGAAGGAAGGCAAAAUUUCCAAUUCUGACUCGGCUGGUAAAGAUUGUAAGCCCGUCUCACACCUACUUCCCUUCUACUCCCUGCCUGCCUGCCUGCAUUGCAAACAAACUGAAGUUGAAUAUGGGGUUUUGAGAUUCCUGUAUUUCACAGAUGCUGGGUACAUCAAGUUGACUGUGGAGAUUUAAUCCGCUGCUCCUGAGGCUGCUGGGAGAGACUUCCCUUUCUCUUCUUUGUUCGCACAGCUCCUGGGAUUCAGCUUUGGAUUUGGACCCACCUCUUCAUUAGCCCUUACAGACGCAACACAUACCUUGAACUGUGCAGCGGUGAGAGUGGCGCCACCAAGCUCCUUUCCUGGGAACUACACUCAGCAUUUCAGCCUCAAGCCACAAAGCUUUGAACUGUAAGACAUGCAGAGGGGGCUUGAAAAUUACACAGAGGACAUAUGAAGACAGAGGCACAGAUUGGAGUGAAGAAGCCACAAGCCAAAGAAUGCCUGUAGCCACCAGAAGCUGGAAAAGGCAAAGAUUUCCCUCUGUAGCCUCCAGAGGAAGUGCAGCCCUGUGACACCUUGAUUUUGGCCCAGUGAUGUCAGUUUUUGAACUUCUAGCCUCCAGAACUGUAAGAGAAUGAAUUUCUGUUGUUUUAAGCUACCCAGUUUUGGUAAUUGGUUAUAGCAGCCACAGGAAUCUAAAACAAAUAUAAACUUUUACAGUGGCAAAUUUUCACCCAGUCACUUUAAUGUUGCAGGUAGUUCUGAUGUUUCCACAAAAACCCUGGAGAGGAAUAGUCCUAUGAGUUGAACUACAAGAAUUCUAUUUUUAGGGAGAUAUAAAGAACUAGAAAAGGAAUGUUGCUGACAUGAUGAUUCAAUAGAAAUGGUAUCCAAUUGCAUAAACUAUUUCAUUAGCCUUUAAGGUUUCUGUAAGGCCAAGAAGAAACUUCAUAAAUGUUAGAGAAAUAAACACUGAUUGAGUAUUUUAAUCUUCUUCCCAUUAAUUACUUAAAAAGUUAUUUUUCUAACUAUAAAGAUAGCAUAAUCACAUUGAGUAACCUUUGCAAAAUAGGCAGGAACAAAUUCACAUAAAAUCCUCAAUACAACUACUGUCAUCGCUUAGUUAUAAUCACUUACAUUCACUUUCUCCUUUUAAAUGGUAGUAGUCAUUUAAUGCCUACACUAUUGUAUAUUGAUUUUUUUCACUUAAUAAAUAUGCAACUUUUGCUAUUGUUACUUAGUCUUUAUAACUGUUUUUUUUAAAAAGAUAAAACAGUUUUAAAGAUAAAACUGAGCACGGGCUCAGUAGUUGUGGCUCGCGGGCUCUAGAGCACAGGCUCAGUUGCUCUGUGGCAUGUGGGAUCUUCCCGGACCAGGGAUCGAACCUGUGUCCCCUGCAUUGGCAGGUGGAUUCUUAACCACUGCGCCACCAGGGGAGCCCAGGGCUGGAUAAUUCUUUGUUGUUGGGGGCUGUCUUAUGCAAUGGAGAAUGUUUAGCAGCAUCCUGGUUUCUAUUCCACUUGAUGCCAGCAGCUUUCCCCUCACACAGUUGUGACAACCAAAAAUGUUUCCAGACAUUGCCAAAUGUGACCUGGCAGGCAAAAUAUCCCCUGUUGAUUGAUAAUCAUUGUCAUAGAAGCUAAGUUCAAUCAUUGGACAAUCCAAUACUAAAAUCCAAGUUUGGUGCUUUUUAUCCACUUUUAAUGGUCUUGUUCGACCAUUUCUAUGGAAACUUUUGAACUCAUGGUAGUAAAAUGGCUGCUGCAUCUCCAAGUGUCACAUAUACAUUUCUGGCAGGAGAAGAUUAACAAAUAAUGAGAGGCAAGAACACUCCUCCCAAGGAGGCCAUCUUUUUAUUGAGAAGGGAUGCCCUCCCUAGUGAUUCUACCUACAUAUUAUUGGUCAGAAGUGUAUCACGUGGCCACCUCUAGUCAUGGAAAAAGCUAGGAGUUCAAAUUCUUAGCUUUAACAGCCUCUAUAAUAGAGCAGGAAGAAGGGUAUUUGUGAAUGGUUUUUGAAUAGCCCGUCCACAACAUUUGCUAAAUUUCCCAUUCUAGUUCACUUACUUCCCUGUGGCAGAUGGGAUGGGCAAGAAUUUGGAAGCUGCUCAAGAUGUUUAGUCAUAUCUAUGUGAGGUCUUACUGUGCUGUGAUUUAUUAUCUAGAAAGUGCUUCAUGAAAUCUUUUCCAGCUGAUUGGUUUGGUGAUUUUUUUAAAAUUCUGUUUUCUCUGAAUUAGGAAAGUGUAUUCACUCAUGGACAAGUAGUGUCAUUGAAAGGACCCAGUUAAUUUCAGCUAGAAAGGUCACUACUUCAAACCAGCAGUGCUUUUGCCAGUUGUAAUAAACAUGCCUAUCAAUUCAUAUCAUCCACAGGCCAAUGUUUAGAAGACCCAUAUCGGUUUCAUUUCCCAUCCAGCAAUAUUCAGCAGUGUCCCAAAGUGCUAGGUGCUAGCUGCAUCUGAAGAUGUAGAGGAUGUGGAUACAUCAGACAUAUAAUAAGGACACAAUACAAGCAGCAGAACAAAUCACCACCUAAAAGCAGAACUGUUUGUUUGCUUAUAUCCCAAGUAGCUGAGAAAUUUUAAUUAUGCACUUUUUCACUUUUCCAUUCAAAGAAACAUGCCCCUACCCAAAUGGUGGGGUUGAACUGUAUCUCCCCAAAAGAUACAUUGAAGUCCUAGCCCUGAGUAUCUGUGACCUUAUUUUGAAAUAGUGUCUUUGUGGAUGUAAUCAAGUGAAUAUGGGGUCACUAGGGUGGGCCCUAAUCCAUUAUGACUGCUGUUCUUCUAAGAGAAGAGACGUAAAGACAUCUAAGGAGAAAACCAUGUGACUACCCAGGCAGGGAUUGGACUCAUGAACGAUAAGCCAAGAAACACCAAGGAUUGUUGGAAAUACCAGAAGCUAAGAGAAAGGCAUGGAAAAGAUUCUCCCUUAGAGCCUUCAGAGAGAGCGUGGCCCUGAAGACACCUUGAUUUCAGACUUCUAGCCUCCAAAACUGUUUGAGAGAAUAAAUUUCUGUUGUUCAAAGCUGCUCAGUUUGUGGUACUUUAUUAUGCAGCCCUAGGAAUCUAACUAAUACACUAAGUAUGAAAAAAUAGCAAGUCCUUGCUAACUGAAAAAUAAGUAGUACCUUCUAUUAGGCUCUUCAAAAGAUAAUUUUAGACAAGUGCUUCUAUUCUUCAUGUAUGUUCUCUUUCACUUUAUUCGAGUGGUCAAUUUCCCAAUGCUAAUUUCCUUUCCUUUGCUUUUAUCAAAUGACAAGAUCCUUUCCAGAUCGAACUUCUUUCUGGAAGAAGGGCAGAUGUGAGCCUGGCAGUCAAUAUCAAGGGAAAGGUGGCAAUGGGAAAUGGAGAGUCUUUCCUUCUUUGUAUGAUUGCGGAGGGUUUGGAUGCUUGCGAGAGAGAAAGACUUCAUCUAAAACCCUAACAGAAUGAAACCUCGUAAUGGAUUGCAUCAUAGUUGAGUAUCUGUGUUAGUUGGGGUCCUCUAAGAAGCAGACAAAUUAAUAUUAGAUGUGCAGAAAAUGUGUCAGGGGAAAUGCCUGAGAAGGAUAAAGGGAAGGAUAAGAGAAGUAUCUGGAGAAGGCAAGGAGAACCUUCCAAUCAUAAUGCUGGUCUGACUCCUGUGAAGGGGACAGAAAAGGAAGGAUAGUUGGAUAGGAAGAGUCUCAGUUUUCAGCACAGUUCCAAGAAAUGUUCAGCCAGAUCAAUGGGACAUCUUAUAUCUAAAUUGCCCAUCAGGACAGUCCUGCAUCCCAGGAAUGGGCUUGCCCAAAUCCUCCCCAUGCUCAGUCACUGGCCAGGAGCGCUCAUAGGAAAUGUAGCCUGAGAUCAGAUGUGGUGGUGGAUCCAGAGGAGCAACAUCUGGGCCCUCAGUCAACCAUGCUCCCAGCAGCAGGAGAUCUGAGCACUGUAUUUUCAAGGCCACGACUCUGUUCAAAACCAGAACAAAUUUUGAGUGUUGCCAAAAGAUCAUGAGAGGGCUGGAAUUCUUGAGUAAUAAGCAACUCCAGCCUGAUACAUUUGCUGGCUCCUGAGAUGACAGUUCCCGUUGGCAAUGGCUGGUCAGAGACACUUUUCUUGUUUGCCUACCUCGUGUUUCCAGGUUCCUGUCAGAGGCUCCCAGCUGUGCUUCUUGCCAGCAGCUCUUGCCCAAGGCAUCUCCCACUGAGAAAGGCUCUGUGGAAGCAGGUCUUUGGUGAGCCCCACCCUGGGCUGCAUAGUGCCUAACCUGACUGCAACGGCUCCAGGUAUUUUCUCCCAGCUUCAGGAGUGGUUUGCUCUGGCAGUGGUUCCUGGUGCCCACCACCCCUCCUUUGCUCUCAUUGUUCCCCCUGCAGGACCCUCCUUCCUCCUCUGCCCAUUCAAAGGCUGCCCAAACUUCAAAGCUUAGCUUAAUUCCACUUCUUUCCCAGAAUUCAAAAACAUAUUGUAUAACCUAUUCAUUAUUCAAUCAAGGAUUUCCUUAUUCAUUAACUUUUUUUUUUCCCCAACAGAAUUUCUUAUACUUUAAUAAUUGAUACAACCAUAGUGGGGAAAAAUUGGCAUCACCUAGUAAAUCUGAACUUGCACAUACAACCCAGUAAUCCUACACCUAGGUAUAUAGCCCACUAUAUAUCCUAAAUAUAUACCCAUAACUUUUUCACAAUUAAGAGAUAUAUAUAAG